rnacentral:rRNA from 1 species
UACGUAGGGUGCAAGCGUUUGUCCGGAAUUAUUGGGCGUAAAGAGCUCGUAGGCGGCUUGUCGCGUCGGCUGUGAAAACCUGAGGCUCAACCUCGGGCUUGCAGCCGAUACGGGCAAGCUAGAAUUCGGUAGGGGAGACUGGAAUUCCUGGUGUAGCGGUGAAAUGCGCAGAUAUCAGGAGGAACACCGGUGGCGAAGGCGGGUCUCUGGGCCGAUAUUGACGCUGAGGAGCGAAAGCGUGGGGAGCAAACAGG